UACGUAGGGCGCAAGCGUUGUCCGGAAUUAUUGGGCGUAAAGAGCUCGUAGGCGGCUUGUUGCGUCGACUGUGAAAAACCACGACUCAACCGUGGGACUGCAGUCGAUACGGGCAGGCUAGAGUUCGGUAGGGGAGACUGGAAUUCCUGGUGUAGCGGUGAAAUGCGCAGAUAUCAGGAGGAACACCGGUGGCGAAGGCGGGUCUCUGGGCCGAUACUGACGCUGAGGAGCGAAAGCGUGGGGAGCGAACAGG
rnacentral:rRNA from 1 species